GCCAGACUCCUACGGGAGGCAGCAGUGGGGGAUAUUGCACAAUGGGGGAAACCCUGAUGCAGCGACGCCGCGUGAGUGAAGAAGUAUUUCGGUAUGUAAAGCUCUAUCAGCAGGGACGAAAAUGACGGUACCUGAGUAAGAAGCCCCGGCUAACUACGUGCCAGCAGCCGCGGUAAUACGUAGGGGGCAAGCGUUAUCCGGAUUUACUGGGUGUAAAGGGAGCGUAGACGGUUAUGCAAGUCUGGAGUGAAAGGCGGGGGCUCAACCCCCGGACUGCUUUGGGAACUGUACGGCUGGAGUGCAGGAGAGGUAAGUGGAAUUCCUAGUGUAGCGGUGAAAUGCGUAGAUAUUAGGAGGAACACCAGUGGCGAAGGCGGCUUACUGGACUGUAACUGACGUUGAGGCUCGAAAGCGUGGGGAGCAAACAGGAUUAGAUACCCCUGUAAA
rnacentral:rRNA from 1 species